rnacentral:lncRNA from 10 species
GGGCUCCGGCCUCUGAAGUUCCCAAUUUAAAUGGCGGGCUUGGUAGUCUGAAGAGUUUGUACUCCUUCCCGGAAAACGUGAUUUAAAAGACACAGGGCCUAAAGGAUUAGAACACACUUGUGAGGGGGUCCUAGACUGGCUUCUUGAUGAAGGGCAGAAACCGCAGGGGCCAGCGGCAGCGGUAACUCCUACUGUAGUGUUGACGUUGUGGUCUGCACAAAUGGUAUUUCAAGAGAUCUGCGGCAACCGCGAUGUGAAGUGGAGAUGUCUAAUUUCUGUUGAUAGUCACAGGAGUUGGAAAAACAACAUUGAUCCAUAAAGCCAGUGAGGUUUUAAAAUCCUCUGGUGUGCCUGUUGAUGGAUUUUAUACCGAAGAAGUCAGACAGGGAGGGAGAAGAAUAGGAUUCGAUGUCGUCACGUUGUCCGGCACCCGGGGGCCUUUAUCGAGAGUUGGGUUAGAGCCUCCACCUGGAAAACGUGAAUGCCGAGUUGGGCAGUAUGUGGUCGACCUGACUUCUUUUGAGCAGUUGGCACUACCCGUCUUGAGGAAUGCCGACUGCAGCAGUGGCCCAGGGCAAAGAGUGUGCGUCAUCGAUGAGAUUGGGAAGAUGGAGCUCUUCAGUCAGCUUUUCAUUCAAGCUGUUCGUCAGACGCUGUCUACCCCAGGGACUAUAAUCCUUGGCACAAUCCCAGUUCCUAAAGGAAAGCCACUGGCUCUUGUAGAAGAAAUCAGAAACAGAAAGGAUGUGAAGGUGUUUAAU